rnacentral:misc_RNA from 1 species
GUAUGGGAGGUCUCUAUUAAGUGAAUCUUUGAUAGCCAUGUUUGAGUUUUCUCUCACUCUUCGAUCAGCAUCUCCUCGGAUUGUGCUUUAUCGUCAGUUGGCAGAGGAAUCUCUUUCUUCUUUUCCACUUACUGAUGAUAACAGCUCAAGCUCUCCUGAUGAAGGAGUACUUCAGCAAAGUGAUAAUGCAAAGAACAAAAAGGUUAACCCCCUGCUUGUUGGUGAG